UACGAAGGGUGCAAGCGUUAAUCGGAAUUACUGGGCGUAAAGGGUGCGUAGGCGGUUCGUUAAGUCUGUCGUGAAAUCCCCGAGCUCAACUUGGGAAUUGCAGUGGAUACUGGCAGGCUGGAGUACGGUAGAGGAAGGUGGAAUUCCCGGUGUAGCAGUGAAAUGCGUAGAGAUCGGGAGGAACACCAGUGGCGAAGGCGGCCUUCUGGACCAGUACUGACGCUCAUGCACGAAAGCGUGGGGAGCAAACAGG
rnacentral:rRNA from 1 species